AACAUAAACUUUCUCUUUCCCUCAUCCAUCUCUUCGUCCCUCUCUCUGCUCCAUUUCCCCUCAUGCUCUCUCUUUGUUCAGCCAUGGCGCCAACACCAUGAUAGCGCCAGACGGCUCCUCCGGGAAGCAUGUAAAACACGCUACUACCCUCAACUCCUUACUCCCAUUACUUCCUCUUAAUUUUAGAACUUGUGCUUUAAACCCACAUCUACCCAACAUCCAAAAAUAGUUAUAAAUUGAAGUUGAAUAGGAAGAACAUCCAUUUUUAGAGAGGGAGAGCUCGGCCUCCAUGGAGAAAUCAGAAGCCGUGAGCUUCAUGGUUGCUUCUACACCUCGAUUCCUCAUCUUUUCGUUAAUUCAAUUGCGAAUUCUCCAAUAAUUCAAACUGCCCUGGUCUGCCGGGAAAUGACAUGGAGAAGGAGCAUGGAUAAUGUGAUUCGUAUGUCAAAGGUGUCUGGGAUUUUGAGAUUAGAGGAUCACACAAGCUCUUUUGUUGUACAGCUGCUCAGCUCUACUACUUAGACAGAGUUACACAAGACAAGUGUUUUGUUCCUCGAACAUUUUCAUUAAUGAAAGGAUGGAAAAGUGAGCAUCUUCAUGCUAGAGAAGAUAGAGAGACCAGUGCAGAAGUUUUUGGUUUAGGACGUAUAAAGAAGAGAUACAUUCGUAAUGAGGAGCAGCAGCAAGGGAAUGAAGAACAAAGUCUUGAUGUAGAUGACAGUGGAGUUGGGUCUCAGAACCUACUCCCAUCAGAUAUGGUGACAAAAGUAUUGCUACACGAUGAUUGCAUCAAUUUACAAUAACCAGAGGUUGCCGAUGUUACAACUGGCUCAUGAUUGGAUAGAAGCAAACAUGGAUAAAUUGCUUGAGUUAAACCACAAGUACAAGGAUUUGUUUAGUCGUAGAAACAAGAAGUGAACAAAAAGUGAUUUUAAUGUUUGAUGUUAACUUAUUUUUUA